CCAGCCCUCAGUUCCUACCUGCCCUCCUCCUGGUUGCCAAUCCGAAGCAGAGAACGUUGGUGACUUGAGUAUAAUUCGCUUUAAUUACAACAACAUGUGUAAAUGACAGGAUGCCACCGCCGUGCGCAGGUGGCGGCCACAGAAUACGCAUCAAAUUCAUUCUGCCCAAGGAAGGGGGGAGGCGGGGGACUUGUGAGCAGGGGGCCCCAGCCCCUCGGUCCUGUGGAUGGUGGGGUCACCGCCCAAUGGCCGCACACGGCCCCUGAGCAGUAAGCAGAUGGGAAGCAGAGCAGCAAUAAUACUGGGUGAGUCCUUCCUUGCGUAAAACAUCUGAAUUAACUCAUUGAAGGUAUCAAAAAUAUACCCUGUAAACCAAUACACCAUUUACACCUGCCUCCUCUUCCCACCGCUGCGGCCACUGCGUGCGAGCGAAGAAACGGUCCAGGUCCGUGGCGUCUGCCCGGCCGACCCGGCUUCCAGCAGUUUCACCAGCUGGGGCGGCCCGUGGGGACCGGGACAAGAGCCUAGAGGCUGGAUGAGGCCCGUGUUCGUCUGUCCAGAGCAGUAAGCGGGGUGGGAGGCAGUGGGGUGGAGGUGCGUAGUCGUCCUGUCUUGGGUCCCCGCUGCCCCGGCCUUGCGCGUGUGGCUGCCACAUGCUCGCCACGCGCCUCCCCCAGCCCGCCACCCUCCCCUCCCGAGCACCAGGUGAACAUCCCCUGAGAAAGGUCACUGCACAGGGCCAGCCCGGGUGGGAGUCGUAGUUAAGGCUUUAGACAGGCAAGGACGCCAGCUCCGCUCUGGAUGGACGGACAGACGCACGCGCACGGCAGGCGGACUCAGGGCUCCUUCCUCUCUGGGCCGCUUCUACCGGGACCUGGCACCGCCAUGCGCAGUCACUCACUGUCGGAGAGCGUCUCGUACUGCGAGCAGAGUAGUGGCUUGGGCUCCUCCUCCCAGGCGUGGUGGGCACCAGCGAGGACCCCGCUGCCCGCGGGGAUGCCAGGUGGGGGCGGCGAGGCCAUGACACCUGCCUGCAGCCGCAUGAUCAGGGGGUUGUAGGGGAAUGGCGUGGAGCCUGUGGGACGACAGGGGCAUGGCUCAGGGGGCCACCUGCCGGCUACACCAGCCGCUGUCCACCCAGGGACCUUCAGGCCUGUGACACUUUUCACUUCCCUGCCCGACUCCUCCAGGGUGCUAUGCAUAGGAUAUCCUGACUCACGAAAAGAAACCCAUGGCCCUGGCCGCUGCCUGCCCUACAUCCUGGUGCCCAAGUGGCCCUCCGUCUCCCUCCCCUC
rnacentral:lncRNA from 1 species